AUGAACGCUGGCGGCGUGCCUAAUACAUGCCAGUCGAGCGAACAGACGAGGAGCUUGCUCCUCUGACGUUAGCGGCGGACGGGUGAGUAACACGUGGAUAACCUACCUAUAAGACUGGGAUAACUUCGGGAAACCGGAGCUAAUACCGGAUAAUAUAUUGAACCGCAUGGUUCAAUAGUGAAAGACGGUUUUGCUGUCACUUAUAGAUGGAUCCGCGCCGCAUUAGCUAGUUGGUAAGGUGACGGCUUACCAAGGCAACGAUGCGUAGCCGACCUGAGAGGGUGAUCGGCCACACUGGAACUGAGACACGGUCCAGACUCCUACGGGAGGCAGCAGUAGGGAAUCUUCCGCAAUGGGCGAAAGCCUGACGGAGCAACGCCGCGUGAGUGAUGAAGGUCUUCGGAUCGUAAAACUCUGUUAUUAGGGAAGAACAAAUGUGUAAGUAACUAUGCACGUCUUGACGGUACCUAAUCAGAAAGCCACGGCUAACUACGUG
rnacentral:rRNA from 1 species